rnacentral:misc_RNA from 1 species
UGUUAGUUUAUCGUUGUUUAUCUGGAAACUUUUUGAUACUAUUUCAAUUUUGCAGCUAUAUGUGUGGGAUGAUUCAAUGUAUGUUCCACUUCUUGUUAAAAACCAGGCAGCUGAAGUGUUGUUUGGAAACAUCAGAGCAGAAGAAGUGUUCUCUUGUUACCAAAGGUUGAAGGAUGGAACCAAUCAUGCUUCAAAUUUGGUCUGCCGAAGGAAGGGCACGGCAGAAAGUACAGUAAUUAAACAUAGUGUUGGUGGGGAAGGUGUUUCAUUCACCGACACAUCACGCACCAAUGAGGGUAAGGAAUUGAAAGAAAA